AUUGCUCCCGUUGGUGAAAUGAAUACAAUACCAAUCCCAUUUCCUUCUCCAUUGGAGGAUCCAUCCACCAAAAUCUCCCAUCUGUUUGGAUUUCGCUCAGUCAAUAAAUCAUUAGAAUUUCCAUGUUCUUCAUCCAUCUCCAUCAUUUCUUCUACAUAUUCAUCUUCUUCUAUUGGAAAUUCUGCAAGAAACUCUACGAUAACUUGAGAUUUUGGUGAAGAUAAAAUUUCAUAACCAAUCUCAUAGUUUCCUAAUUGUGCAUUCCACCUCUCUAUUCUUCCUGACCUCUUUGAAUUCUUCAUUACAUUUUCAAUUGGUACUCUUGUUAAUACUUUAAUUUUGUGAGCUUGAAAAUAGAUGCGAAGCUUGAAUGAUGCAUAUACCAAUGCGAGAAUCAGCUUUUCGAUUUUUGAAUAAUUCUUUUCCACGGAGUUAUAUGUUUUGCUUUUGUAAUAUAUCGGUUUUUCUACACCUUCCUCUGAUCGUAACAGUAUUGCACUUAAUGCAUGAGAUGUUGAUGCUAGAUACAAUAACAAUUCUUCUCCCUGCUUUGCCUUUUACAUAAUGGAUAAAUUUACCUAAUAAUCUUUUAUGCUCUGUAAUGCUUCGUCGCACUCCUUUGUCCAUUAAAAUUUGGUUCCCUUCUUUAGUAUAUUAAAAAAGUGUUUGCAUUUGUCCGAAGAUCUUGCAAUGAAUCUUCCCAAUGAUGCUAUCAAUCCAUUUAACUUUUGAACAUCUUUGACUGUCGCAGGUGGUGGCAUAUCUCUAAUCGCCUGUACCCUCUCCGGAUCAACUUGUAUUCUCUCCUUGGAUAUAAUAUAACCUAGUAAUUUUCCUGAUGAUACACCAAUUAUACAUUUUUCUGGGUUUACUUUAAUAUUGAGUGUUCGCAUCUGUUCAAAUAUUGCUCGCAAAUCAUCAACAUGAUCUUUCGCCUCUUUGCUUUUAAUUAGCAUAUCAUCUACAUAGACCUCCAAUGUUUUAUGUAUCCAUUUUUCGAACACUUUCUGCACCAUUCUUUGAUAAGUCACACCAGCAUUCUUCAAUCCAAUGACAUUUUCGUGUAACAAUAUAAACCUCCUGGUGCAAAGAAAGCGGUGUGUUCUUGAUCUUCUUCUGCCAAAGGAAUUUGAUUAUAGACUUUAUACCCAUCUAACAUUGUGGCUCCAUCAUUCCAUGAUGCUGAUUCCACCAUUUGAGAUAUAUCGGGUAAAGGGAAGAUGUCUUUAGGGCACGCUUAUUUUAGAUCUGUAAAAUCUAUGCAAAUCCUAAUUCAUUUUGUUCUUUUUAGGUACAACUACCAUAUUUGCUAUCCAUUCUGGAUAUUUAUCCUCCCUUAUAAUUCCUGCAUCUAACAUCUUUUGUAGUUCUGCUUCUAUUUUAGGAAGAUAAUCAGUUGCAAUUUUCCUUAUCCUUUGCUUGAACGGCUUUACAUUCUUCUUAAUGUAUAAUUUAUGACAUGCGACAGAUGGAUCUAUUCCAGGCAUUUCUUCCAUACUCCAUGCGAAAAUAUCAUUAUAUUCUCGCAGAGUGCUUAUUGUUUUUUCCUCUUCUUCUUUAUCCAUUUUAGUUCCAAUUCUUAAUUUCUUUUAUUGGUUCUGCUGCGGUAAAAUUCGCUUUUGGUUCUCCCAUAGAUGUUGGUUCCUUAAUUUCUUUACUUCGUCCACCUUCCUCCGCUGGUUCUUCGCCUGGUAUUCCUUUUGCUUCUUUCGCUCUUAUCAUGUAUAUUCAAAAUUCCUCCUCUUUCCUUUGUUGUUUGGCUUUUCUCCAUCGAUCCUUUCGUUUUUUGGCUCGUCCUUCAUAAUUUCGCACAUCUAUUUGAUUACAAGUAUUCGCAGCCUUAAUGUCUCCUCUGAUUUCACCUAUACCGCUUGGAAUUGGAAACAUGAUGCAUUGAUGUAACGUUGACGCUACCGCCUUUAAUCCAUGUACCCAUGGUCUUCCCAACAGCAUGUUGUAUGGUGAUUCAAUGUCAAUUACACAUAGUGUUAUCUUUGUUUCAACCUCUCACAGUAAUAUUCACGUCACGAUUUCUCCCUUUGUCUUUGUAACUGCUCUAUUGAAUCAUGAACAUUAUAGGAUGUACGUAGGUGUCAUUUCGGCAUCUUUAUAUCCCAUUACUUUGAAUGUGCGAUAAAAUAAUAUAUCAACUGCACUUCCUGUAUCUAUCAAUGUCUUAUCAAUCGCCCAUCCUUCAAAUGUCCUCUGGUUUGCAAUAAUGUUUUCUCGCUCGACUGUGACCGUAAUUACCAAUGGAUCUGCUCGCUGUAAGUUUUUCUCUGAAAUUUCAUCUGCCGCAAAGGAAAUCUUCACCUUUUCCCAAUCUUGUAAUGGUAAUUCUUUCUCUACCGUUUCCACCUUCUUGCCUUCGUAAUUUCUUUUAUGAAUUCUCCCAGUUAUCGUCGCUUGAAAAUAUGCCUCAGAAAUUGAUACUUUAGUUAUGUUAUUACACUGUAUAUCUCUGCCUCUUUCUUGAAUUAGUUUGACUCUUGUUGUCUUCAUGGAUCCCUUAUGAUUUUCAGAUCUAUUAACAGGAAUUAACAUCCAGAGCUGUUUCUAGCGCCAAAAAUGUAGUUGUAAGAAAUCUUACAACUACACUCCACUAUAACUGAUUCAAUCUCUAGGUGAUCAUCAUGAAUUCUUGUUUUAUUAGUUAAAGAUUAAGAAUGUUUACAAUAAUGAUUCAAGUAUUACAACAAUUUUACUUGAAACCUAAACUCACUUUCUCUCUCUUCCUAUUUCCUUUCCAAGACUUGUCCUAGAAACCUCUCAGAAACAAUGAACUCUCCCCUUUGUAUAGAGUUUUACAUAGUGGAUGACAGCUAAGAAACCCAUUAUUUUCGGGAUCACUAUGCGACACAUUCGCUCAUAUACAAUCGCUCGUAUUCGCAUAGCGUACCUUCUCGCACAGUUCUUCACACUUUACUCGUGACUUUGCUGACAUCAUCUGUACAACCGCAAAACUCCAGAACAUGCACCGGAACCUACUUAUGUUAACAGUGGCAUCUCUAUAUCCGGUUAUUUUCUUUACAAGAAAGUACCAAGAUGAAGAUCGUAAAGACGUAAAGACGCGCGUUGUUGUGUAGGAGGGAAGGACGCAAUCUUAGGUGUAGGAAAGGUUCACGUCGCAGGCCAGGGAUUUUAGUUGUUAACAACACAAUGUUCAAUCUAUUCACGCAACUCUUGGAAUUCAGUAAUUGGAUACAAAGACGCUUGGGUUUAUUACGAAGGGCGGGAUUCUGAAGAACAUGAAACCGACUAUGUAAUGCACGAAUACACGUUGGCAACUCGAUUCGGUUGGAACCAUUCUGAGAAGACGUGGAAACAAAUUAUAGUGACGCUGAGGAUGAAUUUGAUAGUUGAAGAGAGCAUGCACCUGUUAGGUGAAGGUGAAGUUUGAUUAAAAAUGUGGAAAUAUUUGAUUACUACGCGACGCCUUAAUCACUGCACUCUGAUCAACUAAUGCUGAUUUAUCAAAUCUGAUGGUGAUGAAAUAAAAGAGGGUAUAUAAAAAAUUUGUUGGCCAGUUAAAUAAACUUAUUGCAAAAACGCACAAUAAAAGAGAAAAAAAAAGUUAUUCAGGAACAAAGUUACAGAUUCCCAAAGCAAAAAUGAGCAUUACGAGUUGUAUGAUGAACAAUAUAAUCUCGGGGACUCACUGCAGUAUACAAUGAAGAGAGCGUAUAGCCAAAAUUUGAUACAUAAUGGCUUGCACAUUCCAAUGAGCAGUGCUUUAUAUGAUGCUCAAUCCAUAUAAUUCCAGUUAUAUAUAGUUUGUUCGUUAAAAGAAAAAUGAUCAACUAUUGUGAGAAUAUUUAAUAAAGUACGUUA